rnacentral:rRNA from 1 species
UACGAAGGGGGCUAGCGUUGCUCGGAAUCACUGGGCGUAAAGCGCACGUAGGCGGAUUGCUAAGUCAGGGGUGAAAUCCUGGAGCUCAACUCCAGAACUGCCUUUGAUACUGAAGAUCUUGAGUUCGGGAGAGGUGAGUGGAACUGCGAGUGUAGAGGUGAAAUUCGUAGAUAUUCGCAAGAACACCAGUGGCGAAGGCGGCUCACUGGCCCGAUACUGACGCUGAGGCACGAAAGCGUGGGGAGCAAACCGG